rnacentral:ncRNA from 1 species
ACAUCGACAGGAAGGUUUGGCACCUCGAUGUCGGCUCUUCACCACCUAGGGCGGUAGUACGUUCCAAGGAUUGGGUUGUUUUCCCAUUAAAGCGGUACAUAAGCUGGGUUCAGAACGUCGUGAGACAGUUCGGCUCAUAUCCGGUGCGGGUGUUAGAGCAUUGAGAGGAACUUUCCCUAGUACGAGAGGACCGGGAAGGAUGCACCUUUGGUGUACCAGUUAUCAUUCCCAUGGUAGACAUUGGGUAGCCAAGUGAAGAGCGGAUAACUACUGAAAGCAUAUAAGUAGGAAGCCCACCCCAAGAUGAGUGCUCUCCUAUUCUUACUUCCCUAAGAGCCCUAGUUGCGAACACGGCUGGAACAACGACAGGUUCUCUGUCUUUGCAGGGGAUGGAGUGACAAAAGUAUUGAGAAUCCAAGAUAAGGUCACGGUGAGACGAGCCAUUUAUCAUUACGAUAGGUGUCAAGUGGAAGUGCAGUGAUUUAUGCAGUUGAGGCAUCCUAAUAGAUCGAGAGAUUUGAACCU